GCGAGGUCAAGCAAAUCCCAUAAAGUUGUUCUCAGUUCGGAUUGUAGUCUGCAACUCGACUAUAUGAAGCUGGAAUCGCUAGUAAUCGUAGAUCAGCAUGCUACGGUGAAUACGUUCCCGGGUCUUGUACACACCGCCCGUCACACCACGAGAGUUUGUAACACCCGAAGCCGGUGGAGUAACCAUUUGGAGCUAGCCGUCGAAGGUGGGACAAAUGAUUGGGGUGAAGUCGUAACAAGGUAGCCGUAUCGGAAGGUGCGGCUGGAUCACCUCCUUUCUAAGGA
rnacentral:rRNA from 1 species